AGAAAUGUAGUAGUUAGUAGUAGCACGUUGGUUAAAGAUGACGAUAGGAGCAAAAAGUGUGAAAGUAGAAUCUAGUCCUAUAUCUGUUGAGAGAAGUGAUGGGUUUAGGCACUGCAAAGAGAAUCUAUGUUGGGAGAGAACUUGAAAAGUCGAGCCACAAUAAGGAGAGGGAGGGGUUGGUGUCGGGCACGCCUAGCCUUCUCUUCUCUUCUCUUCUCUUGAAAGUUUUUUGUUUCUUCAUGCCUACAACAGUACCUCAGAGCUUAGUGGGAGCUGAACAUUGGCUUCAUUCCCUUUGGCGUUUUCCCAUGCUCCCCCAACUCACACCUUAUUCUCUCAUACAUGCAUACCCUCCAAAAUAUAAUGUGCAUGUAGUGAUCUUUCGGGUAUUAGCACUCAAUUCUAUGCACACCAUAAACCUUCCUCUGUCCCCCUUUGUGCCCAUUCUUUGAUUUUAUGCGCGUAAAUAUUGUGCAUGCGUGUUGUCUAUGAUAGAUAUUAG
rnacentral:lncRNA from 1 species